GUGAUUUUGGAGGGCAAGUCUGGUGCCAGCAGCCGCGGUAAUUCCAGCUCCAAUAGCGUAUAUUAAAGUUGUUGCAGUUAAAAAGCUCGUAGUUGAAUUUCGGGGUUAGUAGGUUGGUCAUGCCUCUGGUAUGUACUGGUCUCACUGAUUCCUCCUUCCUGAUGAACCGUAAUGCCAUUAAUUUGGUGUUGCGGGGAAUUUGGACUGUUACUUUGAAAAAAUUAGAGUGUUUAAAGCAAGCUAACGCUUGAAUACAUUAGCAUGGAAUAAUGAAAUAGGACGUUCGAUCCUAUUUUGUUGGUUUCUAGGAUUGACGUAAUGAUUAAUAGGGAUAGUUGGGGGCAUUAGUAUUCAAUUGUCAGAGGUGAAAUUCUUGGAUUUAUUGAAGACUAACUACUGCGAAAGCAUUUGCCAAGGAUGUUUUCAUUAAUCAAGAACGAAAGUUAGGGGAUCGAAGACGAUCAGAUACCGUCGUAGUCUUAACCAUAAACUAUGCCGACUAGGGAUCGGAUGAUGUUAAUUUUUUAAUGACUCAUUCGGCGCCUUACGGGAAACAAUCGAAUUCCCG
rnacentral:rRNA from 1 species